AUUGAACGCUGGCGACGUGCUUAACACAUGCAAGUCGUGCGAGAAAGUAGGCUUCGGUCUAUGAGUAGAGCGGCGCACGGGUGAGUAACGCGUGGAUGAUCUACCCUUGAGUUCGGGAUAACGGAACGAAAGAUCCGCUAAUACCGUAUAACAAUCCAUUUCAUCGUGGGUUCAAAGCAGGCCUCUUCGUGAAAGCUUGCGCUUGGGGAUGAGUCCGCGUCCCAUUAGCUUGUUGGCGGGGUAACGGCCCACCAAGGCAACGAUGGGUAGCUGGUCUGGGAGGAUGAUCAGCCACAAUGGAACUGAAACACGGUCCAGACUCCUACGGGAGGCAGCAGUGGGGAAUAUUGCGCAAGGGGGGAAACCCUGACGCAGCGACGUCGUGUGAGGGAAGAAGGCCUUCGGGUCGUAAACCUCUGUCAGAAGGGAAGAACCGCCGGGAGUCGAAUAGGCUUUCGGUCUGACGGUACCUUCAAAGGAAGCGCCGGCUAACUCCGUGCCAGCAGCCGCAGUAA
rnacentral:rRNA from 1 species